rnacentral:rRNA from 1 species
UACGAAGGGGACUAGCGUUGUUCGGAAUUACUGGGCGUAAAGGGCUCGUAGGCGGCCAACUAAGUCAGACGUGAAAUCCCUCGGCUUAACCGGGGAACUGCGUUCGUGAUACUGGAUGGCUUGAGGUUGGGAGAGGGAUGCGGAAGUUCCAGGUGUAGCGGUGAAAUGACGUAGAUAUCUGGAGGAACACCGGUGGCGAAGGCGGCAUCCUGGACCAAUUCUGACGCUGAGGAGCGAAAGCCAGGGGAGCCAAAGCGGG